UUCUUUUUGGCAGAAUAAUGCAUUUGAUUUAGGUUCAAAAGAUAAUCUUUUUUUAAAAGGUA
rnacentral:tRNA from 1 species